rnacentral:rRNA from 1 species
CACGUAGGGUGCGAGCGUUGUCCGGAAUUAUUGGGCGUAAAGAGCUCGUAGGCGGUCUGUCGCGUCUGCUGUGAAAACUCGGGGCUUAACCCCGGGCCUGCAGUGGGUACGGGCAGACUAGGGUGCGGUAGGGGAGACUGGAAUUCCUGGUGUAGCGGUGAAAUGCGCAGAUAUCAGGAAGAACACCCGUGGCGAAGGCGGCUCUCUGGGACGGUACUGACGCUGAGACGCGAAAGCGUGGGGAGCGAACAGG